rnacentral:tRNA from 1 species
GCCUGUCAAGCUAACUUGGUAGAAGCGUCUGGUUGAAGCCCAGAAGGUUUUGGUUCGAUUCCAAAGGCAGGCA